GGUUCCAGGCUGAAGAUAAACAUAGGGAAUAAAUAAAAGAAACAAGUACAAUGUGUGAUUCAUAUACUUUUGGCUUCAGAACAGAAGCAGUUUGCCCUAAGAAAGCAGGGUCUUCAGCUUCACAGUCCUUUCAACUAGUGCAGUGCAGUUAGCAUCAAGCCAAAUUUACAAGCCAGGAGAGGCUGACAUCAACGGGAGUUGUCUCACAAAGGAGCAUACAAUGUGACUCCAGAAGAGGAUGAAGACCUAAAGUAAAAUUUCUUCUUGAAGUGAACAAGGCAGUAUUAAUGCUCAAUUAACCCAUAUUUUGCAUGAUUUUCCAACAGAAAAAGGUGAGACUUGCUGUUGUGAGUGAUAUCCCUUAUUUCACACUAUCCAGAACCAAAAUGCUGUAACUCAAAAAAGCUGUGGAGAGGGAACUCUGAAAGAAGUUCACAGGCAGGAGCUGACAAUAGUUCCCUGAGGCUGAACAUGUCACUGAUCCAGGCAAGCAGUGCUGGCCACAGCUGGCUCUUUUCUUCUCCUAGAGAAGUCUUCAGAGGACACAGCCAGCACAUUCCCGCAAAAGCCAGGCCUGCUCCAUGACAAACCCUGGCCUGGCAUGGGAGCAGUCCUUGGACUGCCUGCAAGUCUUCUGCGAUCCAAGAGCAACAGAAUCACCACCUUUGGUACACAGGGUCAGCUACAUGAGACAUUCAUUUAUUUUUUUCCCUUGAUUGUUCUCUGACUCUUGCUUGCUGGCGUUAUUAAGCAUGCCUGAUUUGUUUCUCCCUAAAUUAAAUGUUUUGUUUAAUCUCAAAUGAACUGUCUUAAUUGGUUGAGUAUGUGGAAACAUUUCAGUCUGGGAUUGAUAUAA